CACCAACCACGCGCUGCAUAUAUCCUCCUUUUCCCGUGUUUCUCUUAUAGAAAUAGUUCUGGAAGAUGAAGCGCGCCCCCCCACGGACCGUAAGCACCGCGCUCCGCGCCUCUCGGGCCUGGAACCCAAACACGUGGGCCAGUUGAGCUGCUCUGCAAUCCCCCCCCACGUAUCCAAAAGAAGCUCCUCGUGGGGCCCAAGAGCUCCUGGUUGGGAUCCCGCUUGUUGCUGGAGUUGUUGAAAGCAGAUUACAGACGAUAUGGCAACCAGGGCCGAACACCGAGCAUGACUGGAACUGCUGGAGUGAUGAUAACCCGUUAAGUCCGGCUCCUGCUGCAGAGAAAGUCACAAAGUUUGUUGGUGCACCUGCUGCUGUUUUUGGUGAACAAUGAAAAAAUAUCAACUUCUGUUGCUGUGAGUGAGGAUAUAGUUCCCAAUGAUUUCAAGGUCGGUGUGCCAGCUGGUAUUUACUGUAUAUUCC
ensembl:lncRNA